rnacentral:rRNA from 1 species
GACAGAGGGUGCAAACGUUGUUCGGAUUUACUGGGCGUAAAGCGCGUGUAGGCGGCUUUGCAAGUUGGAUGUGAAAGCCCACGGCUCAACCGUGGAAGUGCAUCCGAAACUGCAUGGCUGGAGUCUCGGAGAGGAAGGUGGAAUGCUUGGUGUAGAGGUGAAAUUCGUAGAUAUCAAGCAGAACACCUGCGGCGAAGGCGGCCUUCUGGACGAUGACUGACGCUGAGGCGCGAAAGCUAGGGGAGCAAACGGG